UUGUCUUUCUGUGGAAAAAAAAAAAGUAAAAAGAGAAAUUUUUUUGGGCUAGCAGAGACGGUUUUUGGGUGGCAGAGACGUUGCAAAACUGGCAAAGGUACGUGUUGGCUGGGAGGAACAAAAAGACGAUUUUGGCAGGCACAAUUGGGUGGCGGUAUGUAUUAGCAGAGGGUGAACAUUGUUAGAGAACACGCCAUGGUUAUGCAGAAAAGGGGAAUCAAAAUUCACAAGAGAGGGAUCAUCACACACAACACAGAACCUCCUCCUCUGGCCCAACUUCAUAUUCAAAUCCCAUCACACACUACACACACGUUCCCCUUCACCACACCCUUCCCCCAUAACCCGUAACCACCUUCAAAAGAAUCCCAUUCUUACCUCCAACUCCAACUUCAUCCUUCAAGAAGCAAAACCAAAAACAGAAAAUACAAAAUAUUCAUCACUCUCUCAUCACCAACACCACGCUUCAACAANUCUGAUCACACUAUCAGCACAAUGNCAACCAUCAUUCACUCACUCAGAAUCAUUCAUACACACUACGCNGAAUUACUUCCUCACCAGAGAACAGAUUGNCCUUUCUCUUGGUUGAUCUCCUUCACCAUAUAACAGAAAAACAAAAAAAUUAAGCAGAGGGGAGAACCCAUUUUCUUCCAACAGAAUCAUCUUUCUCGUCGUUCUUCCAUUCCAUCACCUUCGAUACACUCAAAACCAGAGCAUCCANCAUUAUCUUCAACCUCAUCGACUCAACAGAAUCACCAUUCCCCUCCCUUUCACUCGGUCUGACACCUAAAAAAAAAUACAAAGAAGGGNCAAUCAUUCACGACCUCCCUCCAUCACAGAAACACCAAACACGAACNGAGAAGCUCACUCGUCACCUCCGCCUACGCCUACCUCGACGUGUUCUCUCAGGCGAUACACAAGAAGCUUCAGAAGGUAUUUACUAUUUCGUCGCAGAGAGCACCGAGCCUAUGAAAACUGUCAUAAUUGNCGGCAUCCUCCACCACGCCAAGUUCCUCAUCACCGACGCUACCUCCAUUGCCGCCGUAGCAGCAACCCUACGUCAUGAUGUCGCCUAAGCCCAGGUACCUCUGCCCAUAAUUCUCCUCUCUAUUCGGUCCAGUACCUAAAGGAAACACAGAAAUUCAAGACCAAGGUCAAAAAGGAAAAUAAAGCAAUAAACUCCGCAACUUUAGCAAUGGUGAUUCUGGGUGAUGGCUCUUUCCACCGUGAGACAGCAACCACUACAAUAGUAUCUACAGCAGCCUUCAUCGCAGCAGCGGCGUGAAACAGGGUGAGGGGUGGUGGCGUCNGGCAACGUUGGUUUCGAAGUCGAAUAGGAGAAGGAGAGGAAGGGGAAACUCCUACUUUCGAUCCGCGUCGGAUCGGAGGUCAAUGAGGGAAACCUUUCCCCUGGGAUUGUUUCCGGCGUGACGUCGUGAGGAGCUUGUUCUCGCGUGAAGAAGAGAAAGCGGAGGGAAGGCUUGGUGCCGUGGCUGGCGGCGUGUCGUCACUGGCGACGCCGUGGACGGUGGGUGAAGUCGCNNNNN
rnacentral:lncRNA from 1 species